rfam:Folsomia candida strain VT population Fcan01_Sc001, whole genome shotgun sequence.
GGCUCAAUGGUCUAGGGGUAUGAUUCCUGCUUUGGGUGCAGGAGGUCCCGGGUUCAAAUCCCGGUUGAGCCC